rnacentral:rRNA from 1 species
UACGUAGGGUGCGAGCGUUGUCCGGAAUUAUUGGGCGUAAAGAGCUCGUAGGCGGCUUGUCGCGUCGGAUGUGAAAGCCCGGGGCUUAACUCCGGGUCUGCAUUCGAUACGGGCAGGCUAGAGUUCGGUAGGGGAGAUCGGAAUUCCUGGUGUAGCGGUGAAAUGCGCAGAUAUCAGGAGGAACACCGGUGGCGAAGGCGGCCAUCUGGGACAACACUGACGCUGAAGCACUAAAGCGUGGGGAGCAAACAGG